GCAAGUCGAACGAUAAGCUUCUUCGGAAGUGGACAGUGGCAGACGGGUGAGUAACGCGUGGGGAUCUGCCCAGCGGUUCGGGACAACCAUUGGAAACGAUGGCUAAUACCGAAUAAGCCCGCAAGGGGAAAGAUUUAUUGCCUUUGGAUGAACCCGCGUAAGAUUAGCUAGUUGGUGAGGUAAUGGCUCACCAAGGCGACGAUCUUUAGCUGGUCUGAGAGGAUGAGC
rnacentral:rRNA from 1 species